rnacentral:rRNA from 1 species
AUUGAACGCUGGCGGCAGGCCUAACACAUGCAAGUCGAACGGUAACAGGAAACAGCUUGCUGUUUCGCUGACGAGUGGCGGACGGGUGAGUAAUGUCUGGGAAACUGCCUGAUGGAGGGGGAUAACUACUGGAAACGGUAGCUAAUACCGCAUAACGUCGCAAGACCAAAGAGGGGGACCUUCGGGUCUCUUGCCAUCGGAUGUGCCCAGAUGGGAUUAGCUAGUAGGUGGGGUAACGGCUCACCUAGGCGACGAUCCCUAGCUGGUCUGAGAGGAUGACCAGCCACACUGGAACUGAGACACGGGCCAGACUCCUACGGGAGGCAGCAGUGGGGAAUAUUGCACAAUGGGCGCAAGCCUGAUGCAGCCAUGCCGCGUGUAUGAAGAAGGCCUUCGGGUUGUAAAGUACUUUCAGCGGGGAGGAAGGGAGUAAAGUUAAUACCUUUACUCAUUGACGUUACCCGCAGAAGAAGCACCGGCUAACUCCGUGCCAGCCGCCGCGGUAA